UGACUUUGAGGUGCUUAGGCAAUUGUUCA
rnacentral:piRNA from 1 species